rnacentral:rRNA from 1 species
GACGAACGCUGGCGGCGUGCUUAACACAUGCAAGUCGAACGAGUGGCGGACGGGUGAGUAAUGUCUGGGAAACUGCUCGAUGGAGGGGGAUAACUACUGGAAACGGUAGCUAAUACCGCAUACCAUCGGAUGUGCCCCGAUGGGAUUGGCUAGUCGGUGGGGGAACGGCUCACCUAGGCGACGAUCCCUAGCUGGUCUGAGAGGAUGACCAGCAACACUGGAACUGAGAGACGGUCCAGACUCCGACGGGAGGCAGCAGUGGGGAAUAUUGCACAAUGGGCGCAAGCCUGAUGCAGCCAUGCCGCGUGUAUGAAGAAGGCCUUCGGGUUGUAAAGUACUUUCAGCGAGGAGGCGUUAAUCGCAGAAGAAGCACCGGCUAACUCCGUGCCAGCAGCCGCGGUAAUAC